UCCGAUAUGGUGUAGUGGCUAACAUCGCUCGCUCUCAUUCAACGAGCGCCGAGCAGCCCUGGGUUCGAUUCCCAGUAUCGGAG
rnacentral:tRNA from 1 species